rnacentral:rRNA from 1 species
GACGUAGGGCGCGAGCGUUGUCCGGAUUUAUUGGGCGUAAAGAGCUCGUAGGCGGUCUGUCGCGUCGGAUGUGAAAACCCAGGGCUCAACCCUGGGCCUGCAUUCGAUACGGGCAGACUAGAGUUCGGUAGGGGAGACUGGAAUUCCUGGUGUAGCGGUGAAAUGCGCAGAUAUCAGGAGGAACACCGAUGGCGGAGGCAGCUCGCUGGGACGUAACUGACGCUGAGACGCGAAAGCGUGGGGAGCAAACAGG